rnacentral:rRNA from 1 species
CCUACGGGUGGCAGCAGUGGGGAAUAUUGGGCAAUGGGCGCAAGCCUGACCCAGCAACGCCGCGUGAAGGAAGAAGGCUUUCGGGUUGUAAACUUCUUUUAUCAGGGACGAAGCAAGUGACGGUACCUGAUUAAUACGCCACGGCUACCUACGUGCCAGCAGCCGCGGUAAUCCGUAGGUGGCAAGCGUUAUCCGGAUUUACUGGGUGUAAAGGGCGUGUAGGCGGGAGUGCAAGUCAGAUGUGAAAACUAUGGGCUCAACCCAUAGCCUGCAUUUGAAACUGUAAGUCUUGAGUGCUGGAGAGGCAAUCGGAAUUCCGGGUGUAGCGGUGAAAUGCGUAGAUAUACGGAGGAACACCAGUGGCGAAGGCGGAUUGCUGGACAGUAACUGACGCUGAGGCGCGAAAGCGUGGGGAGCAAACAGGAUUAGAUACCCCUGUAGUC